AGUCAAUAUUGUCUCAACCUGCA
rnacentral:snRNA from 1 species